UACGUAGGGUGCAGGCGUUAAUCGGAAUUACUGGGCGUAAAGCGUCCGCAGGUGGCAGUUCAAGUCUGCUGUCAAAGACCGGGGCUUAACUUCGGAAAGGCAGUGGAAACUGAACAGCUAGAGUAUGGUAGGGGCAGAGGGAAUUCCUGGUGUAGCGGUGGAAUGCGCAGAUAUCAGGAGGAACACCGGUGGCGAAGGCGGGAUCCUGGGCCAGUACUGACGCUGAGGAGCGAAAGCGUGGGGAGCAAACAGG
rnacentral:rRNA from 1 species